UCUCAAUUACAUAUAACGUUUUCUCAAUUACAUGUUGUGUUUCUUAAUUACAUAUUACGACUUCUUAAUUACAACUUUCAUGUUCUCAUUUACAUCUUGAAAAGGUGUAGUAAUAAAAUAAAUCUUCAGAAUAAACUUAGACAUCUGGGAUUCACAUGGGAUACUAAACAUUCAACUUUUGCUUCACUCAAUAAUACAAAUGUUAAUGAAAAAAUUUCAAACUUUAGAGCUGCUGUUAAAACUCUUAUUCAAUCUAGAAUCCGGUUUGCCCACCCAAGUUCUAUUUCCUAUAUAUAUAAAAUAUUAGCAGUCCCUACAUUAACUUAUGGUAUGGAGAUAUGUGAAAAUAAUUCUGCUUUGAUGAAAAAGCUAGAUGUAAUUGGAAGGAGUGCACUAAAAUUGCUUUUAAAUGUUUCAAAACACAGUAAGAACUAUACAAAUUUGCUAUAUAAAAUCCAGGAAACUAUACAAAUUCGCUAUUUAAAAUCCAGGAAAUUUCAAAAAGUAUUCAACAAAAUAAAUUAAACUUGUUUCUUCGUCUUUUUAAUUAUAAAACAACUUCAGGCAUUAUCUUUUCACAACUGAAACACCUCUUAUUUAAAGAUCACUUUAUUUUUUAUGUAUUUACUGUUAUAAUUGUUCGUUUUCAUUCAUUUUUAUAAACUUACAAUAAUGUUUAACUUUAUCUUAUUUUUAAAUUUCAAGCCAUGUUUAUAAUAGUUAAUGUUUAUAAGUUUACAGCAGCAUUUUUGAUUUAGCAUUAUUAAUUUAGUCAAGUUUUAAUACAUUUAAUGAAGUUCUUUAAGUAUAAACAAAAGUAUAAACUUUAUUUGUUGUAACUAUUUUAUUGAUUUGAAUUUGAAUUUUUUAGCCAAAUUUUAUCACCCAAUACGGAGUUCUUCAAGUGUGGAAUAAAUACAAACUUUAUUUUUCAAAACUAGUUUACUGACUUGAAAUUAAAUUCAAAUUUACAGUUAUGUCUUCAAAGAAUGACAGUCUAUUGAACCAAAAUCCAUUUAGAGUUCUUAAAGACAACAAGAUGAUCGACUUUCAAGAAGAAAAGAAAAAUAAAAAACAAUAUCCAUGGCAUCUCUAAUAGUACUACGCUCAACUUGUUUCCUGACUCAGCUUCUUGUUUUUCAAGAAUUGUGUUUUGGAGUUUGAUGAUAGAGAGAGAAUUGUUUGAAAACAAAGAUAAAAAUUACUGGUUUGAAGCAGAGGCAGUUGUUCCAUCUUGUUCGAAAAAAGAUGGAUGGUUAUUUUGGUCAACUUGUGUUCAUGCAAUGAAAGCUACCUAUAAUAAUUUUUCAAUCAUUGACUCCUGCAACAAUCUUAGACUUAAAAGAGUUAAAGUAACUGGAGAUAAAGAAGUAUGUGCAGGAUUUAAUUUCACCACUAAAGAGGACUCCGAAGAAGAAUAUAAUAAAGUUCUGGUUGAUCAAAGAUCGAGGAAUGAUUUGGUUUUAACUGGUUUGCAUUUUAUGAACGAAGUACAUAAUAUGAUUUAAAUUGAUGAUUUAUAGUUACACCUAUUGAAAUUCUGUAUCUCAAUGAUAUCCUGGCUUAUCGAUACGAUAUUCUGUAAAUCCACUCACAC
rnacentral:misc_RNA from 1 species